rnacentral:rRNA from 1 species
AUUGAACGCUGGCGGCAUGCCUUACACAUGCAAGUCGAACGGCAGCACGGACUUCAGUCUGGUGGCGAGUGGCGAACGGGUGAGUAAUAUAUCGGAACAUACCCUAGAGUGGGGGAUAACGUAGCGAAAGUUACGCUAAUACCGCAUACGAACUAAGGUUGAAAGCGGGGGGAUCUUCGGACCUCGUGCUCAUGGAGUGGCCGAUAUCUGAUUAGCUAGUUGGUGAGGUAAAGGCUCACCAAGGCGACGAUCAGUAGCUGGUUUGAGAGAACGACCAGCCACACUGGAACUGAGACACGGUCCAGACUCCUACGGGAGGCAGCAGUGGGGAAUUUUGGACAAUGGGCGCAAGCCUGAUCCAGCAAUGCCGCGUGAGUGAAGAAGGCCUUCGGGUUUGUUAAAGGACUACUUUUGUUCUAGGGAAGAAACGGUA